UAGACAGGAGAAUACCUUGUUAGUUCGGUCUAGGCUCUAGAACGCAUGUUAUGACUUUGUUAUAUGUAACCAUUUGUUUCCAACACUUUCACUCGACUCUUGGCUUUGUUGAACUGAGGCGUGAUUUCGCUGUGAGCCUAUGGCAGCGCUGUGUGUUAAGUGGAGCAGUGAUCUGAGCUGGACCUGGUAAGCUGGGGCCGAGGAUGUUACUGUUCCUUUGGAAAUAGUGAAUCUGUGAAUCCUGCCAGUGCCCAGGGGACCAGGGACUGGACGCUCCAGACAGAUGCUCAGAGGGCUGGAGGGCAGAGUGGGCCUAUUGCUACCCUGCAGUGACUGCAGGCCCAGCAGCGAGUGCGUGUGGCCAGUGGAGUUGGGGAGCUGACCCCUGGCAGGCACAGACAAGGCUCCCUCAGGCAAAGGGCAGGUGGUGGCGAGGUGCCUCCCAGCCCCGGGUACCCGGGUACAUUGCAGGGUAUUAACUUACUGCAGGUUUGGGGCAGUUAAAAAUUACACCCCAAGGCCCCAGCCCAGUGAGGAGGACCGAGGAGAGGAACUGUGACUGCGCGGGGCACCUGAGUCCCAGCACCGCCCAGAGUUCUGCUCUGCCUAAAGCCCCAGUCCCGCCCCGUGAGUAGGGCUUUACCAAAUUCAUGACCAUGAAAAAUGCAUCACAGACUGUGAAAUCUGGUCUCCCCUGUGAAAUCUGGCUGGGGGAGGGGGGGAAUAUGUCACAGAACUGCCACCCUUACGUCUACGCUGCCUUCAGAGCUGGGCGGCCAGAGAGCAGCAGCUGCUGGUCUGGUGCCCAGCUCUCAAGGCAGCACUGCUGCCAGCAACAGUGCAGAAGUGAGGGUGGGAGGUUGGGGGAGGGGGGGGGGAAGGGCCAACCUUAUGGGUGGGUGAUGCGGGCAACUGCCCAGAGCGCGGUGGUCAGGAGGGAACCCCGCCAACCGCCAGCUCCAGGCCCUUUUAACCUCUGAGUGCUGGACCCUGGAACGGGGGAGGGGCAGGGCUGGGAGCGUCCCGGGCAGGGGCUCCUACCGUGUGCCAGGCUCUAGCUGCAAGUUCGGGCUGGGCUGGGGAGGAACAGGACCUCGUCCCCUGCAUGGGCUGCUCCCAGGGCCAGAUCAGAGCCACCGCCAGGAACCUCCCCCAGCAGCAGAAAGCUCCGUGGCUGCCGGCCGGGAGCCCAGCUCUGAAGGUAGCACCACUGCCAGGAGCAGUGCCGAAGUCAGGGGAGCGAUACCGUGACACCCCUCCCCCAAUAGCCUUGAGACCCCCCCAUGACCCUCUUCUGGGAUGGGAUCCACACAGUUACAACAGGGUGACAUUUCAGAUUGAAAUAGCUAAAACUGUGAAAUUUAAAAGACUUUUAAAAAUCUCAUGACCAUGAAAUUUACCAAACUGGAUGGGUGAAUUUGGUAGGGCCCUACCCAGGAGACUAAACAGGGGGGUACUUCACAUUACAGAUACACAAAUGUGGAUCCUCAGUUGCACUGUUUAUAUCACGGCCGCUUCUUUCUGGCAGAUCCAUUUGAGCUCCGCGGCACACGUCUCAGACAGAACCUGGCUGCCUUUUAUCCACCCGCAGCUGUUCCCAGCAGCAGAGCCUGAGAAGCUGCAGAGUGAGAGAGAGUCCGUGUCACUGUGGGUCCCUGUAACAAGGAAAGGCCCAGGGGUGAGUCUUUUCUCCCCCUCCCCCUAAUGGGAAGCUGGGCUCUGGUGUUGUCCUUCAUCUCUAACUUCCCUGCAGAGCGUCAGUCGAGAAGACGUCCCAGGCUGUGAGAGCCUCAGCUCUUUGGAACCUCUGCAAACGCUUUAGUCAUGUGUUUAACUCCAUCCGUAGGAGUAGCCUUGGAUGGCAGUGGGAGGGCUCAGAGCCAGCGUCCUGGAACCAUCUCAUGGUGCGUGGAGUGGUGGGGGUGGUGGGGGUGCUGGUCUCACUAUACCUAUGUGGGUUUUGGAAAGGUAGAGGGAAAGUGUUUGCCUACCCGCGACUCGUCUUCAGCAAGCUGCUGACUCAUCCCUCCCGGCAGCCUGGAAGUCUGCAGGAUUCACAGGAAUCUGAGCUCACCGCAGUGUGUGACAGGGACGGGGACUAGGCCCAGGGAAUUAGAAACAGGAAUCGAGACCCAGCCCUGGAGAAUGGGGAAGGAGACCUGCUCAUGGAGGACAGACGCUUCCCCCAGGAACCCAGAGGAAGGGAUCCAUUAGGUGGGGACACGGGUGUGGCCCAGGAAACUGGAGUAGCAUUGCCAAUCCUCCAGGAUGACCGGGAGUCUGCAGGAAUUAAAGAUUAAUUUUUAAUUAAAGAUUAUGUCAUGUGAUAAAA